rnacentral:lncRNA from 1 species
UGGGAUAGUCAGUCUGUGUUGCUAAUUACGCGUCACACUCCUGCAGUUUUCUUGUAAUCUGAUUUCUUUUUCUCUUAGCCCUGUGAUUGAUAUCAAUAUGCUCCCCUGCUUUCCUCCUCCAACUACUUCUCCCUCCUUUGCCCCUGGAGAUUUGGCACUCUUGGUUGGAGACUUUUGUAGAGUUUUUCUGUUGCCAGUCCAGGAUCUGGACUGGCAUUAUUUCUGAUAGGCAUUUUAACUGGAUUCAACCCAGACAUGUUAAAUGGUUGAAGUAAAUUAAUUGUGUUGUCUCUGUCAAUAAAAGAGCCACCACAGCCAAGCCAACAGAAAAGGCUAUAACAGUAAUGGACAAUUUAAAGAUUCAUUAACAAAUACCGAGGAUAGCACCGUAAUUCCCAACCUUUCAUCGCUCAAAUACUGAACAACACACAUUAAAGAUACCAGAAAAGAGACCAUAUGAUACAAAACAGACUGAAGUUGAUCAGUUAUUUUACUUACCAUUAUAAACAUCCAAAUGUGAAUUACGUCCUAGCUGUCUUGCAUAUUUUCAGAUCUGCGCCCGCAAAAUGAUGACACUAUUUUAGAUGUGUCAACUUCUUUUCUCCUUUUGUCUCCUCUGGAAAAUACUCCCCUAUCUGAUAAUUUCCCCUCCUUCACUGAGUCUCUUUAAUUGUUUAAGAUAUUUGAUAUAGGCUGAAGUGGAUUUGGAGCCUCAACUUUUACUUCACUUGUUCGUAGGAUGGUGGCUAAAGGAUGUACAAGAAACAAAAAUGACAGGAAAAUCCUAGAAUUCAAGUACUGCUUCUGCCUCUCCUCUUGGGCAGAGAAGAAGCCACAGCUAGGAGAAGUCAAUUUAAAUAAGCAACAGAGAGAUUGCUUUACAUGGGAAAAAAAAGGACAAAAAGUGUACAUGAAAGUAUGAAGAACCUGUCCCUCUGGAUACUCUUGGAGAUGGUUGACAGGUGAGAUAUGGGGCUGAGACCUUUUUUAGACUCACUAGCAGAGCUAAAUAAUUUUCUGUCCCUAGCAGCUUCUUGAUUUACUGACUAGACACUUGUAGUAUGGAAGUUCUAUAACCUCAUCCAACAGUUAUUGACUACCUACUCACCAUCAUGAUACAUAGUACCAUGACAAAUAAGACAAAUAGGACACGAUCCUUGUUUUUGUCAUUUUAUAGUAUGGCAGGCGAGAUUGACUCAGGAAAAAUAAUUUCAACAGAAGUGAUAGUUCUUCAAAGAGAGCCAUGUAUGACAGAUGAAACUUUAAAGGGGGGGGGGUAUUAGUUAGACAGAGGCAUCCCCCCAAGUCAUUACAAUCUAAAGACCUGUGUCACUAGAUAUGUUUCUUCAUACAACCACAUACGUACACAUACACAUACUUACAUAUUUAUUCUUAUUUACGGCACAAAUGUCUAUGAGCC